rnacentral:misc_RNA from 1 species
GAUGAAGAACGUAGCGAAAUGCGAUAAGUAAUGUGAAUUGCAGAAUUCAGUGAAUCAUCGAAUCUUUGAACGCACCUUGCGCCUUUUGGUAUUCCGAAAGGCACACCUGUUUGAGCGUCAUGAAUACCUCAAUCUCCAUCUUUUCUUCGGAUUGAUGGGUGACUUGGAUGUUGAGCCCUGCUGGUAUGCUAUAUCAGCUGGCUUUAAACUUAUUAGCCGGCUCUGUACUGGAUCGGUUUGACUCGACGUGAUAAUAUUAUAGUUGAGGAUGCAUGUCUCAUGCAGCCGGAAAGUAUCAAAGCAGCUUCUAGCUUGACUUUAGUGCACUUUUACAUUUUAGACCUCAGAUCAGGUGGGACUACCCGCUGAACUUAAGCAUAUCAAUAAGCGGAGGA